rnacentral:rRNA from 1 species
GUGGGGAAUAUUGGACAAUGGGCGAAAGCCUGAUCCAGCAAUGCCGCGUGAGUGAUGAAGGCCUUAGGGUUGUAAAGCUCUUUUACCAGGGAUGAUAAUGACAGUACCUGGAGAAUAAGCUCCGGCUAACUCCGUGCCAGCAGCCGCGGUAAUACGGAGGGAGCUAGCGUUGUUCGGAAUUACUGGGCGUAAAGCGCACGUAGGCGGUUACUCAAGUCAGAGGUGAAAGCCCGGGGCUCAACCCCGGAACUGCCUAUGAAACUAGGUAACUAGAAUCUUGGAGAGGUCAGUGGAAUUCCGAGUGUAGAGGUGAAAUUCGUAGAUAUUCGGAAGAACACCAGUGGCGAAGGCGACUGACUGGACAAGUAUUGACGCUGAGGUGCGAAAGCGUGGGGAGCAAACAGGAUUAGAAACCCGAGUAGUCC